GUAGUGGUGGUUCAGUGGUAGAUUUCUCGCCUUCCAUGCAGGAGACCCGGGUUUGAUUCCCGGCCAGUGCA
rnacentral:tRNA from 1 species